UACGUAGGGGGCAAGCGUUGUCCGGAAUCAUUGGGCGUAAAGCGCGUGUAGGCGGCUUGGUAAGUCAGACGUGAAAUCCCUCGGCUUAACCGGGGAACUGCGUCUGAUACUGGAUGGCUUGAGAUUGGGAGAGGGAUGCGGAAUUCCAGGUGUAGCGGUGAAAUGCGUAGAUAUCUGGAGGAACACCGGUGGCGAAGGCGGCAUCCUGGACCAACACUGACGCUGAGGAGCGAAAGCCAGGGGAGCAAACGGG
rnacentral:rRNA from 1 species